UCGAGCUUGAAAGCUCCGGCGCUCAAGGAUGGGUCUGCGGCCUAUCAGGUAGUAGUGGGUGUAGCGUACCUACUAGCCUACGACGGGUACGGGUUGUGAGAGCAAGAGCCCGGAGAUGGAUUCUGAGACACGAAUCCAGGCCCUACGGGGUGCAGCAGGCGCGAAAACUUUACAAUGCUGGAAACAGCGAUAAGGGGACCUCGAGUGCCAGGUUACAAAUCUGGCUGUCGUGAUGCCUAAAAAGCAUUGCAUAGCAAGGGCCGGGCAAGACCGGUGCCAACCGCCGCGGUAACACCGGCGGCUCGAGUGGUAACCGUUAUUAUUGGGUCUAAAGGGUCUGUAGCCGGCCGGAUAAGUCUCUUGGGAAAUCUGGCAGCUUAACUGUCAGGCUUUCAGGAGAUACUGUCUGGCUCGAGGCCGGGAGAGGUGAGAGGUACUUCAGGGGUAGGGGUGAAAUCUUGUAACCCUUGAAGGACCACCAGUGGCGAAGGCGUCUCACCAGAACGGACCUGACGGCAAGGGACGAAAGCUAGGGGCACGAACCGGAUUAGAUACCCGGGUAGUCCUAGCCGUAAACGAUACUCGCUAGGUGUCGGCAACGGUGCGACCGUUGUCGGUGCCGUAGGGAAGCCGUGAAGCGAGCCACCUGGGAAGUACGGCCGCAAGGCUGAAACUUAAAGGAAUUGGCGGGGGAGCAC
rnacentral:rRNA from 1 species